CCUGGGGUUCCUGCCUGAGCUGAGGCUCAGUUGCAUCUGCAGAGUGGAGACAUCCAUCAUACGUGAACUGCUGCAGAGCAAACCUGGCUUAAAAGAGAACAAGCCUGAUGCCAUCUGCCCUGGAGAGCAGCCCUCAGAAUAGAGUUCCAGAGUUUGCAGUGAGGUGGGAAGGGCCUCAGGAGCUGCAGAUGCCCACCAUGGGGCAAUCUGGCCCUGGGGCCAAGGGCUGGAGAUGGUAGAGCAUGACAUGCUCAGACACAUCUUCAGUAUGUGUGCAGCGUGUUCUUCAGACACUGUUAAUUUUUUAAGAAGCCCCAGGUCUCAUUCUGCAAAGCCAGAUGUGCAUUUUGGGCUCUCAUAAAUGCUCACUGCUGCAUGAUGGGCUUGAGACCCAACAACCUGGGAUGGUGGAGAGAGGAUGUUUAAAAGGUCUGGGCUGGGAGUUUUGGACAGGACAGCCUGUGACAGGGCUUCCUUUGGUGUCCCUGGGACCAACGGAACCUGAUUGUCUUUGACUUGUCUGAGCAACAAGUCAAGACUGAGCUUUAAAUGAAGGUCCCCUCAAGGAUCAUCAGGUUCCAACACCCUGCUGCAGGCUGGGUUGCCAGCCACUAGAUAUGUUCUAAUAACUGAGUGAGAGAUAAAAGGGAAACCUCCGUAUGCUGUGGGGAAGCCACCGUCUGCCCUGUUUUACAACAGCAAACUUUGCACAAACAGUUCCUGCUGAGAAUAUAUUCGUAUUUCAUGGCUGUGCAAUUAAAGUCUCUCCCAGGCUGUGCUAAUGAAAGGUUUCAGCCGGCAAGAAGCAAGUCCAGAAGAACUAAUUACAGGCUUGGAGAAAAAAGCAAUUAUCUCUGUGUUUUCUGGGGACUUGCUGGGUUUGACUGUGGGAUUUCUAUUUGGUUAUAAGGAUAGGUGAGGAGUCUCUUCAUAGGUGACAGGAAAUGGGAUGUGAAAAGAUGGCCUCAAGUUGCAUUGGGAAGGUUUAAGUUGGGUGUUAGAAACACUUUCUUCAUGGAGAGGGUGGUCAGGCAUUGGAAGGGGCUGCUCGGAGAGGUGAUGGAGUCCACAUCCCUGGAUGUAUCUGAGAGAUGUGUGGCUGUGUGGCACCGAGGGAUAUGGUUUAACAAUGGGACUCAGUAAGUCAAUUUGAUGGUUGGACUUCCUGAUCUUAAAGGACUUCUCCACCCUAAAUGGCUCUGUGUAGAAAUCUGGGAAGCCACCUGGGGGUGAUGGCACACUGCCUAGGCAUCUUCCACAUCUGUGCAAGGAGAGCAGCUCUGGAGCCACAGUUUCUGCUCCUUGUGAUCUCCAUUCUGCUAAGUUGCUGUUCAUGAAAGGAAAGGUUUAGAAUCUGCAAAUUCAAUAUAUGUUGAAGGAAAAAUAACCUUUUAUUUUAUUUGGGAGGAUCUGGGGAUGCACGUUCAGACAGCACAGUGCAUUUGUCUUUGUGUCAAGGCAGAAUUAUCAAACGGUCAGCAGUUACAGAAGAGCUGCGGGAGCAAGAGACCUGUUUCCCAUUAAAUAAGGCAGAGAAUGGGGAGCAAUUCCCGUGUUUUAAAGCGGAUUAAAUAUCCAGAGUCCUUGAGAAAGCUUUCCAAAUUUCACUCUUCAAUUAUGUGUUUUAGUUUGACGGAGAAGAAAAACAAAAUCCCUCCUUCCCCACUGCACAGAGCAAUUUCUGCAAUCCUCCCAAUCCCCAUGAAUAACGCAGCCAGCACAGCUUAGCAGCUGCCCGUCAGUAGGCUCGGCAGGAAUCCGUGUGGAUCUGGAGGCUGCUUACAAACCAGGUGUCGUGGGGACAUCUGCAGGCCCCCAACCCCAUGCCGUGGGGAUGCAGCAUGGGAGGAUGCUAUCGAGGCUGCUGGAUGUCUGCGAGCACAAACCACAGCGUGGCUUCCCAUGGCUGGAACCCAACAAGGGCGGUUUGGUUUCCUCUGCACUGAUUGAUGAUGGCUUCUAAUAGGUUGAUAUACUUUUCCCAUUUUAUGCGACGGUUGAUGCUUAGCAUGUGGUUGGUGAAAUGGCUCUGUGUUCAGUGCUGUAACAAAUUGCCUUGGCCAGGUUUAUCUGCUGGGCUUCAUUAGGGACCUCUGGUGCGCCAGAUUCUGGGGGUGCUGAAAAUGAGACUUGAAUUGAGUUAUUCCUUGUGGGUUGCAGGCUAAUUCUUCUUUCAUCUAAAGUCUUUUCAUAUUUCACCUCUCUCCUCCUUAUCUGUGACGGGUAAUUUGAUUUGCACUGUUAUUUCAAAACAAUUCCUUUUGGUUCCCUUUAUGAGUUGAGAAAGGCAAGGCUUAAGGACUUAAGCAUCACAGGCUGCUUCCAAACUCUGUUUUGAAGGGGCUUGGGAGGACGUGGGGGGGGAGGAAGAGCAAUGCGGCAGUGCAGCAAAGUGUCUGCAGAUUCCAUUAGGAUUCCUCCAAAGUGCAUCCCAGCCUUGCUCCAAGGGCUGGCACGAUGGAUCACACCACAGUGUGCCAAAGCUCCUGUUCUAAAGAAUCCCUGCUCAGCAUGCUGGUGCUGCUGCUCUUUUUAGCAAUUUAUUCCUGGUGCAGCGCCAUGAAACUCCUCUAGCUGAACCAUGUCGGCAGUUGUUUCUGUAGGGAGAAAUAUAACAUGCAGCCAUGGAGAUUCGUGGUUCACAGCUUCCUGCUAGUCUGAAAACACUGAGCCAUGAUUAUAUUCUAGAACCCAGAGCAGCUUGCUUCCCCAGUUCAUUGGCAGGGCGGGCAGCAGGUACCCGCACAGAACUGCAAGGAGCCAGUGAUGUCAGUGGGGCAUCCCAGUGGCAUUGGCAUGAGAUCAAGGGUCAAUGGAGAGGCUGAACAAAUCCCACACCAUAACUGCGAGGGCCAUCCUGUUAGGGUGGAGGUGCUGGAAAGAAGUCCCUGAGAACAAAAGACCUCCCAAUAGCAGGGGGACCUCUUGCCCAGAAUCCCAUAUUUAUGGCAGUUGCCCAAAAGAUGGCAAGCUCUGAGUCAUCUGCAGAACAAGAGGUGAAGGCCAGAAUUGCUCGUGGUGUUGGUGUCAGUGAGACACCUCUUAGAGAUGUCCAGGAAAGAGAGUUUUGGUCUUUCCCCUUAUCCCACUGCAGGACUGGUUUCUGUGUUUCCCUGUCUGAGAGAAUUCUUGUCUGCCUCUUCCUCAGCUCUUGGACCCUGGGGAACUGGAGCUUCAUGGCAGAGCAGCUCAGACAAAGGCCAAAAGGAGGAGAUGAGAAAGAAAUCACUGUGAAAAUAUGCUCUGAAAAAUGUAUUGGCUUGCAACACUCCAUGGAAGUUCUCAAAGCAAGAAAAUCUUUAUUGAGAAACUGAAAAAUAUUCUCCCAGUCUUUUUUUUUUCACAGGCAAAAGAAUAGAAGUAUGUUAACCCAACCAAUAUUUGGUUGGUUGGUGGUUGGUUGCUGGAAAAUCAAGUGAAAUGGGAAGAGGUCCAUUGAUUGCCGCUAAAGCCAUCUGUGUGCUUGGGCAGCCUCUCCCUGGCCCUGCUGGGCAGCAGCUGAUGGUUCACGUGCUUUUCACAUUUUUAGUUGAUUUUUUUUUUUUCCAGACAACUUGGAUUUCACUUGAAAUCUGUCUGGCAGGACCUGGCCUCCAGCCUGCUUGGAACCCAUGGAGAUUAAUGACAUGGAAAAUGAGGAACGCUGACUGUAAAGCUCUGAAACUGUGGGAAAAGGCAGCUUAGAGCCAGGCUUCGGUGAGGAGGUGUGUGACUUGGUCUGGGAUGGUGUUUGGAGAGGCAAAGGCUCCUGCUGCUCUUUCAAGGGAACAGCCUCGUAUUUAAUAAGAACUCUCUCCUCACAAUGGAACUGGAGUGUUUCAAGUACAGCAAGUCCUUUCCUUCCCCUCCUGGCGGUGUGAUCCAGGUUUCUGCGGUCAAGAACGUGUUCGUGAAAACAUGGACAGCACGAGUUGGAGGAGGAAUCAGCCAGGAACUCCCUUCUCUGAUUCCAUCUCCUGUGAGAUGUUCUGUGAGGAGGAGGAAGGUGCUCACCCUGUUCAGAUUGGGAGGGGGAGGUUGGGGUCUCCAGCAGCAGGAGGAACAUAGAAUCGUAGAACAUCCUGAGUUGGAAGGGACCCAUGGGGAUCAUCGAGUCAAACAGCGGGUCUCUGC
ensembl:lncRNA